rnacentral:rRNA from 1 species
AUAAACCGUGGCUCAGUUCAGAUCGUAGGCUGCAACUCGCCUACGUGAAAGAGGAAUCGCUAGUAAUCGCAGGUCAGCAUACUGCGGUGAAUACGUUCCCGGGCCUUGUACACACCGCCCGUCACACCAUGGAAGUUGGCCACGCCCGAAGCCGUUACUCCAACCCUUGUGGAGGAGGACGUCGAAGGUGGGGCUGAUGACUGGGGUGAAGUCGUAACAAGGUAUCCGUACCGGAAGGUGCGGAUGGAUCACCUCCUAA